AAUGAACGCUGGCGGCAGGCCUAACACAUGCAAGUCGAACGGAUCCUUCGGUUCUAGCGGCGGACGGGUGAGUAAUGCGUAGGAAGCUACCCGACAGAGGGGGAUACCAGUUGGAAACGACUGUUAAUACCGCAUAAUGUCUACGGACCAAAGUGUGGGACCUUCGGGCCACAUGCUGUCGGAUGCGCCUACGUGGGAUUAGCUAGUUGGUGAGGUAAUGGCUCACCAAGGCGACGAUCCCUAGCUGGUUUGAGAGGAUGAUCAGCCACACUGAACUGAGACACGGUCCAGACUCCUACGGGAGGCAGCAGUGGGGAAUAUUGGACAAUGGGCGCAAGCCUGAUCCAGCCAUGCCGCGUGUGUGAAGAAGGCCUUCGGGUUGUAAAGCACUUUCAGUAGGGAGGAAGGAGUUGUCGUUAAUAGCUGCAACUUUUGACGUUACCUACAGAAGAAGCACCGGCUAACUCUGUGCCAGCCGCCGCAGUAA
rnacentral:rRNA from 1 species